rnacentral:misc_RNA from 1 species
GAAAUGCGAUAAGUAAUGUGAAUUGCAGAAUUCAGUGAAUCAUCGAAUCUUUGAACGCACCUUGCGAUCCUUGGUAUUCCUUGGAGCAUGCCUGUUUGAGUAUCAUGAAAUCUUCAAAGUAAAUCUUUUGUUAACUCAAUUGGUUUCUACUUUGGUAUUGGAGGUCUUUGCAGCUUCACACCUGCUCCUCUUUGUUCAUUAGCUGGAUCUCAGUGUUAUGCUUGGUUCCACUCGGCGUGAUAAGUUAUCUAUCGCUGAGGACACUGUAAAAGGUGGCCAAGGUAAAUGCAGAUGAACCGCUUCUAAUAGUCCAUUGACUUGGACAAUACUUUUAUGAUCUGAUCUCACAUCAGGUAGGACUACCCGCUGAACUUAAGC